rnacentral:rRNA from 1 species
AUAAAAGGUUUUCCGUAGGUGACCUGCGG